rnacentral:rRNA from 1 species
UACGGGGGGAGCAAGCGUUGUUCGGAUUUACUGGGCGUAAAGGGCGCGUAGGCGGCCACCGCAAGUCAGUUGUGAAAGCUCUGGGCUUAACCCAGAAAGGUCAACUGAUACUGCGGGGCUAGAGUGCAGAAGGGGCAACUGGAAUUCUCGGUGUAGCGGUGAAAUGCGUAGAUAUCGGGAGGAACACCGGUGGCGAAGGCGGCGACCUGGGACAAUACUGACACUGAGGUGCGAAAGCGUGGGGAGCAAACAGG